rnacentral:misc_RNA from 1 species
AAGGAUAAUAUACGGAAUAUCGCUUUUAAGCGAUAAGGAAUAACGGAGACAUAUUGUAUUCAGUUUUGAAUGCUCAUUUUGAGGAUUCAACAUUGUACAUUGAAAACUAGAUAAGUAAGUAUAGAUUUUACCAAGCAAAACCGAGUGACAAGCGAAAAGCUUGAAACAAAAAUUAUCGCUAGUCGUCGACAGACGACUCACAAUAAUUAAUAACUGGUGGAUGUUGGUUAUUGUUYAAUUCGAAAGCCGAAUGUAAACRAUUGCCAAAACAUCAAAA